ACUCCUACGGGAGGCAGCAGUGGGGAAUAUUGCACAAUGGGCGCAAGCCUGAUGCAGCCAUGCCGCGUGUGUGAAGAAGGCCUUGGGUUGUAAAGCACUUUCAGUUGUGAGGAAGGUGGUGUCGUUAAUAGCGGCAUCAUUUGACGUUAGCAACAGAAGAAGCACCGGCUAACUCCGUGCCAGCAGCCGCGGUAAUACGGAGGGUGCGAGCGUUAAUCGGAAUUACUGGGCGUAAAGCGCAUGCAGGUGGUUGUUAAGUCAGAUGUGAAAGCCCGGGGCUCAACCUCGGAACUGCAUUUGAAACUGGCAGACUAGAGUACUGUAGAGGGGGUAGAAUUUCAGGUGUAGCGGUGAAAUGCGUAGAGAUCUGAAGGAU
rnacentral:rRNA from 1 species